GAUGAACGCUGGCGGCGUGCUUAACACAUGCAAGUCGAACGGUGAAGGCGGAGCUUGCUCUGCUGGAUCAGUGGCGAACGGGUGAGUAACACGUGAGCAAUCUGCCCCUGACUCUGGGAUAAGCGCUGGAAACGGCGUCUAAUACUGGAUACGAGCUGCGAAGGCAUCUUCAGCAGCUGGAAAGAACUUCGGUCAGGGAUGAGCUCGCGGCCUAUCAGCUUGUUGGUGAGGUAACGGCUCACCAAGGCGUCGACGGGUAGCCGGCCUGAGAGGGAGACCGGCCACACUGGGACUGAGACACGGCCCAGACUCCUACGGGAGGCAGCAGUGGGGAAUAUUGCACAAUGGGCGAAAGCCUGAUGCAGCAACGCCGCGUGAGGGACGACGGCCUUCGGGUUGUAAACCUCUUUUAGCAGGGAAGAAGCGAAAGUGACGGUACCUGCAGAAAAAGCGCCGGCUAACUACGUG
rnacentral:rRNA from 1 species